GAUGAACGCUAGCGGCAGGCUUAACACAUGCAAGUCGAGGGGCAGCGCGAUGUAGCAAUACAUUGGCGGCGACCGGCGCACGGGUGCGUAACACGUAUGGAACUUACCCUUUACUGGGAGAUAGCCCGGAGAAAUCCGGAUUAAUAUCCCAUAAUAAACGAAGUGGCAUCACUUUGUUUUGAAAGCUCCGGCGGUAAAGGAUGGCCAUGCGCACGAUUAGCUAGUAGGUGAGGUAACGGCUCACCUAGGCUACGAUCGUUAGGGGGCCUGAGAGGGUUAUCCCCCACACUGGUACUGAGACACGGACCAGACUCCUACGGGAGGCAGCAGUGAGGAAUAUUGCGCAAUGGAGGCAACUCUGACGCAGCCAUGCCGCGUGCAGGAAGAAGGCGCUACGCGUUGUAAACUGCUUUUAACCGGGAGAAACCCUCCGACGUGUCGGAGGUUGACGGUACCGGAGGAAUAAGCACCGGCUAACUUCGUGCCAGCAGCCGCGGUAAAGU
rnacentral:rRNA from 1 species